ensembl:snRNA U6 U6 spliceosomal RNA
GUGCUCACUUCGGCAGCACAUAAACUAAAAUUGGAAUGAUGCAGAGGAGAUUAGCCCCUGUGCAAGGAUGACACACAAAUUCACGAAGCUUUCCAUAUUUUU